AGAGUUUGAUUAUGGCUCAGGAUUAACGCUGGCGGCGUGCCUAACACAUGCAAGUCGAACGAAUAUCUUCGGAUAUUAGUGGCGAACGGGUGAGUAAUGUACAGGUAAUGUACCUUCGUACUGCGAAUAACAAGCUGAAAAGUUUGCUAAUACGGAAUAGUUUCCUUCGAGGCAUCCUUAAAGGAUAAAGAUUUAUCGUGCGGAGAUCAGCCUGUAUCCUAUUAGUUAGUUGGUGGGGUAAUGGCCUACCAAGACGACGAUGGGUAACUGGUCUGAGAGGAUGAGCAGUCACAUUGGAACUGAGAAACGGUCCAAACUCCUACGGGAGGCAGCAGUGAGGAAUUUUGCGCAAUGGGGGAAACCCUGACGCAAGCAACGCCGCGUGAGUGACGACGGCCUUCGGGUUGUAAAGCUCUGUCGUGUGUGACGAGUAGGGACGGUAACACACAAGGAAGCCUCGGCUAACUACGUGCCAGCCGCUGC
rnacentral:rRNA from 1 species